AGAUUACAAAUUAAGCAGGCUGCUCCUGAAGUCAGGCUGCAGGGCAAGAGAGACUUGCUGGAGAAGCUAUUUGUCAUCUGAAUCUGUGGGAUGGUA
rnacentral:ncRNA from 10 species